AUUGAACGCUGGCGGCAUGCUUUACACAUGCAAGUCGAACGGUAACAGGCCUUCGGGUGCUGACGAGUGGCGAACGGGUGAGUAAUGCAUCGGAACGUGCCCAGAGGUGGGGGAUAACGCAGCGAAAGCUGUGCUAAUACCGCAUGUGAUCUGAGGAUGAAAGCGGGGGACCAGGCAGCAAUGUUUGGCCUCGCGCCUUUGGAGCGGCCGAUGUCAGAUUAGGUAGUUGGUGGGGUAAAGGCCUACCAAGCCGACGAUCUGUAGCUGGUCUGAGAGGACGACCAGCCACACUGGGACUGAGACACGGCCCAGACUCCUACGGGAGGAAGCAGUGGGGAAUUUUGGACAAUGGGCGCAAGCCUGAUCCAGCAAUGCCGCGUGCGGGAAGAAGGCCUUCGGGUUGUAAACCGCUUUUGUACGGAACGAAAAGGCUCUGGCUAAUACCUGGGGCUGAUGACGGUACCGGAAGAAUAAGCACCGGCUAACUACGUG
rnacentral:rRNA from 1 species